UUCCCGGCAGUCCAGUGGUUAAGACUCUGUGCUUCCAAUGCAUGGGGUGCAGGUUUGAUCCCUGCUCAGGGAG
rnacentral:tRNA from 1 species